rnacentral:rRNA from 1 species
GACGAACGCUGGCGGCGUGCCUAACACAUGCAAGUCGAGCGAGAGACUUCGGUCUCUAGCGGCGGACGGGUGAGUAACACGUGGGUAACCUGCCUCAUAGAGGGGGAUAGCCUUCCGAAAGGAAGAUUAAUACCGCAUAUACUCUCGAUACCACAUGACAUUUAGAGGAAAGGAGCAAUCCGCUAUGAGAUGGACCCGCGGCGCAUUAGCUAGUUGGUGAGGUAACGGCUCACCAAGGCGACGAUGCGUAGCCGACCUGAGAGGGUGAUCGGCCACAUUGGAACUGAGACACGGUCCAGACUCCUACGGGAGGCAGCAGUGGGGAAUAUUGCACAAUGGGCGAAAGCCUGAUGCAGCAACGCCGCGUGAGUGAUGACGGCCUUCGGGUUGUAAAGCUCUGUCUUUUGGGACGAUAAUGACGGUACCAAAGGAGGAAGCCACGGCUAACUACGUGCCAGCCGCCGCCGUAA